rnacentral:rRNA from 1 species
CCUACGGGAGGCAGCAGUAGGGAAUCUUCCACAAUGGGCGAAAGCCUGAUGGAGCAACGCCGCGUGGGUGAAGAAGGUCUUCGGAUCGUAAAACCCUGUUGUUAGAGAAGAAAGUGCGUGAGAGCAACUGUUCACGUUUCGACGGUAUCUAACCAGAAAGCCACGGCUAACUACGUGCGAGCAGCCGCGGGAAUACGUAGGUGGCAAGCGUUAUCCGGUUUUGUUGGGCGUAAAGGGAACGCAGGCGGUCUUUUAAGUCUGAUGUGAAAGCCUUCGGCUUAACCGGAGUAGUGCAUUGGAAACUGGGAGUCUUGAGUGGAGAAGAGGAAAGUGGAACUCCAUGUGUAGCGGUGAAAUGCGUAGAUAUAUGGAAGAACACCAGUGGCGAAGGCGGCUCUCUGGUCUGUAACUGACGCUGAGGUUCGAAAGCGUGGGUAGCAAACAGGAUUAGAUACCCUGGUAGUC